rnacentral:sRNA from 1 species
ACUGCGUCUAAGCAAAUGUUUGUUGGUUAUAGCUUCUUUUGGGAGAAAAUGGGUAUAAGUGUUCUCUAAACACUCCUAAUCCAUCUCUUACUCUUAUAAUUAGUCAAAUGCAUUGGAUUGUGACACAUUUUGACCUUAGAAACACUAACAAAUCUAUUAACCGCUUCUAAGCAAGUUUUGUUGGUUUUAGCCUCUUUUGGGAGGAAAUGGGUUAUAAGUGUUAUCUAAACACUUCUUGUACAUCCCUAACUCUUAUAAUUAAUCAAUUGCAAAUUUUUGUUGGUUUUAGCCUCUUUUGGGACAAAAUGGGUAUAAGUGUUGUCUAAACACUCCUAAUCCAUCUCUAACUCUUAUAAUUAGUCGAAUGCAUUUGACUGUGAUACCUUUUGAACAUAAAUACACUAACAAGGCUAUUUACUGCGUCUAAGCAAAUGUUUGUUGGUUUAGCCUCUUUUGGGAUAAAAUAGGUACAAGUGUUGUCUAAACACUUCUAAUCCAUCUCUAACUCUUAUAAUUAGUCGAAUGCAUUGGAUUGUGAUACCUUUUAACCAUAAAAACACUAUCAAAGCUAUUUAGUUCUUCUAAGCAAUAUUUUGUUGGUUAUAGCUUCUUUUGAGAGUAAAUGGGUAUAAAUGUUGUCUAAACACUUCUAAUCCAUCGCUAGCUCUUAUAAUUAGUCAAAUGCAUUGGAUUGUGACACAUUUUGACCAUAGAAACACUAACAAAUCUAUUGAGUUGUCCUAAGCAAGUUUUGUUGGUUUUAACCUCUUCUGGGAGGAAAUUGGUAUAAGUGUUGUCUUAACACUUCUUAUCCAUCUCUAACUCUUAUAAUUAGUCAAUUGCAUUGGGUUGUGACACAUUUUGACCAUAGAAACACUAACAAAUCUACUGACUGCUUGUAAGCAAGUUUUGUUGGUUUUAGCCUCUUUUGGGAGAAAAUGGGUAUAAGUGUUUUCUAAACACUCCUAAUCCUUCUCUUACUCUUAUAAUUAGUCAAAUGCAUUGGAUUGUGACACAUUUUGACCAUAGAAACACUAACAAAUCUAUUGACUGCUUCUAAGCAUAUUUUUGUUGGUUUUAGCUUCUUUUGGGAUAAAAUGGGUAUAAGUGUUGUCUAAACACUCCUAAUCCAUCUCUAACUCUAUAAUUAGUCCAAUGCAUUGGAUUGUGAAAUAGUUUGACCAUAGAAACACUAACAAAUCUAUUGACUUCUUUUAA